rnacentral:rRNA from 1 species
AGAGUUUGAUCCUGGCUCAGGAUGAACGCUGGCGGCGUGCUUAACACAUGCAAGUCGAACGAACCUUCGGGUUAGUGGCGGACGGGUGAGUAACGCGUGAGAAUCUGCCCUCAGGAGGGGGAUAACGGUUGGAAACGACCGCUAAUACCCCAUAUGCCUACUGGUGAAAUGAAUUUCGCCUGAGGAUGAGCUCGCGUCUGAUUAGCUAGUUGGUGAGGUAAUGGCUCACCAAGGCUUCGAUCAGUAGCUGGUCUGAGAGGAUGAUCAGCCACACUGGGACUGAGACACGGCCCAGACUCCUACGGGAGGCAGCAGUGGGGAAUUUUCCGCAAUGGGCGAAAGCCUGACGGAGCAACGCCGCGUGAGGGACSAAGGCCUCUGGGCUGUAAACCUCUUUUCUCAAGGAAGAAGAUAUGACGGUACUUGAGGAAUAAGCCACGGCUAAUUCCGUGCCAGCAGCCGCGGUAAUACGGGAGUGGCAAGCGUUAUCCGGAAUUAUUGGGCGUAAAGCGUCCGCAGGCGGCUUAUCAAGUCUGCUGUUAAAGCGUGGAGCUUAACUCCAUCAUGGCAGUGGAAACUGAUAGGCUUGAGUAUGGUAGGGGCAGAGGGAAUUCCCGGUGUAGCGGUGAAAAUGCGUAGAUACCGGGAAGAACACCAGUGGCGAAGGCGCUCUGCUGGGCCAUUACUGACGCUCAUGGACGAAAGCCAGGGGAGCGAAAGGGAUUASAUACCC